CUCUCUCCCUCUCCGCCUCCACGCCGCUGCCUCCCCUCCCUUCUCCCUCUCCGCCUGCCUCCGUCGCCCCUCCCCGCCGCCGCUCCUCCUGCUCUCCGCCGCCGCCGCCCGCUCCCGCGGGAUCCGGAUCCGGCGCGGGUGCGGCUUGGAGCGAGGGGCGCACGUGCCGGCCGGCGACGGCGCGGCUGCUCCAGCGCAUGGAGCAGAGCGACGGCCGCCGUGUGCCCAGGCCGUCCCGGCUGCGCCGCGCGCCGAGGCCCCCAGAGCACGCCCGCUUUGGGGGAAGCACGGACGAGGAGGAAAGCGACAGGGAUGGGCACUCCCUCGGUGCGGUGCCGCCCGUUGCUCUACACUCGUGACCGAUGCCGAUCUCUACUGUCCGUCUGCCCCCAUCCUCGCCUUCCUCCCGACCCUCUCUCUUGUUCCUUCGGCACCCCGCCACUCCAGCAGCGCAUCCAUCUCCGGAUCCGCGUUGAGGCGUCGCCGGUGACAGCAAUGAGGAAAGGAAAUUUCUCUUGAUUGGAUUCGUUCUCUCUCUCAAGCAGGUUAUUGAUAUAAAAUGCUUCUCUCUCUAUUCUUGCGACAGGAAGGAGUAUUUCUCUUGAUUGGAUUCCUUCUCUCCCUCAAGAGUUAUCGAUCUGAAAAAAUUCUCAUUGUGGAUGUGGACUGCUCAUCGAUCUAGCUCUGACUCUGACCUUGUACAUGCAUGUGCAUUGUUUUUUUUUCGCCAAACCGAUUUAUUUAGUGUGUUAGAUCAGUUUAAUCUUUUUCCUUGAAAAUUUAGAUACAUGUUUUGCACUCUCUGUAUCAGCUGGCUUCUUGACCAUGGCAUCUACUAUUUUGGAAGGGAAUUGCACAUUCUAAGGAUAUAUUAUGCUGCAGAUUGGAUAGAUGGAGCAUAGAAAAGGAGGCAAGGACUAAUUAUCUUUUCUAUAGUAAGAUCCUUGAAGCUCCUUAUGAGGAGGAAGUUUCACUGCUUUUGGAAAUAUUCGGAUUUAUGGUGCGUGGAUAUGCUGUAAUAUUGAUGCUCCAAAUGCCGGACAGACACCUGAUGGACAGGAUAGCCUGGUGCUUGAAUAUGCUGUAAUAUUGAUGCUCCAAAUGCUGGAGAAACAUCUGAUGGACAGGAUGGCCUGAUGCUCGGAUGUGCUGUCAUGGUGCUAAGACGUGCUGUAAUAUUGAUGCUCCAAGUUUUCGGACAGACACUUGAUGGAUAGGAUAGCCUGUGCUCUUAGAAAUGUUGUAAUAUUCAUGAUUCAAAUGCCGGAUAGACACCUAUGAUGGAUAUUGUACGCACACUGCUCAAAUGUUAGCAUAUUAACGAUGUAUUUGUUACCAUAUGCUGUGAUUUUGUGUUGAA